GCUCAGGACGAACGCUGGCGGCGUGCCUAAUACAUGCAAGUCGAGCGAAGAGAUGGGAGCUUGCUCCCWGAUYUUAGCGGCGGACGGGUGAGUAACACGUGGGCAACCUGCCCUGCAGACUGGGAUAAYUCCGGGAAACCGGAGCUAAUACCGGGUAAUACAUCGCACCGCAUGGUGCAAUGUUGAAAGUUGGCUUUCGAGCUAACACUGCAGGAUGGGCCCGCGGCGCAUUAGCUAGUUGGUAAGGUAAUGGCUUACCAAGGCGACGAUGCGUAGCCGACCUGAGAGGGUGAUCGGCCACACUGGGACUGAGACACGGCCCAGACUCCUACGGGAGGCAGCAGUAGGGAAUCUUCCGCAAUGGACGAAAGUCUGACGGAGCAACGCCGCGUGAGUGACGAAGGCCUUCGGGUCGUAAAGCUCUGUUGUUAGGGAAGAACAAGUACCGUUCG
rnacentral:rRNA from 2 species